AACGCACAUUGCGCCCCUUGGUAUUCCAUGGGGCAUGCCUGUUCGAGCGUCAUUUGUACUCUCAAGCCUUGCUUGGUGUUGGGUGUUUGUCUUUGCUUAGCCUAGACUCGCCUUAAAUAUAUUGGCAGCCGGUAUACUGGUUUGAAGCGCAGCACAUUUGCAAUUCAAGCUUGCUAUUACUAGCAUCCACAAAGAUUAUCAACACUUUUGACCUCGGAUCAGGUAGGGAUACCCGCUGAACUUAA
rnacentral:misc_RNA from 1 species